AACAUUUUCAUCUUCAUCAGCAGAUGGAGUUGUCACACAGCUGUCACAGGUUUCUCCUCCGACUCUUCAGAACGUUGGGAAUUUUUCAUCAGAAAAUCACUUAAGAAAAAAAAUCACUUGUGUUUUCAGUUGACCUGAUUAAACAGGGACACAGACCAGGACUGAACAUUUCACAUCAAGUCUCRCUCCUUUGAACUCAACCUGUCCAACCGUUUCCUGUGAAAGCUGCUCCGCAGUGAGCGAGGCCAGCGUCGUGGCCUGCUGUUUCUCUCCCGUGUGGCCAGAUGUUCACGACCGGCUGCAUGGAGACCUCAAACUGUGGGAGGUGCACGUCGGCCUCCUGCACGCUCACAAGGAUGCCCAUGACUUGGGAGUCACCUGCUGCAGCUACGCCCCUCAGUUUAAAGUGGAGAGCUGUUGCGUGGAGCUUCGACUGGCCUCCUGUGGACAGGACAGCCAGCUGAAAGUAUGGAUUGUUUCCCAGCAGGACGGAGCAGGUAGACUGACCUCUCCGCUCUGCCCGCUCCUUCAACCAACACUCCUUUAAUCCAUAACACAUGAAAGAGGAAAAAAAGCACGCUCUGCUGCCUGCUCCAACCUUCACAUCUCUCUGCAGAAAACAAUAUUUUAUUUGGCUUAAAUUAGCCGAGGAUGGAUUCAUUAAUAAUGGAUCCUCAGCCUUUCUGAUAAAAAGCAGCAGCUGAGCGUGUGUGUGUGUGUGUGUGUGUGUGUGAGAUCGGGAAGGUCAUCAAGUACAAACAAGACACGUUCAGAUCCUGUCCGACCGCCAGCAGAACCAACAGAUUUCACAGGUUGUGUAACCAGGUUACAGGCUGCGUUUUCACCGCGUGAUGGCGUUAGUAUCUGUGACGUGUUGCCGUGGUAACGGCAGCUUCCAGGGAGGAUUCGAUGGGYCUCACAUGGUGACCCAAGCCCACUGUGAUUGAGUUGUUUUAGGGGUUCUCCGAGCAGCUUGUUGAGACACCGACCAGUGUGUCAUUUCAUUUAGCUGCUGCUCAGAUGAGACAGAAGUCAUUGUUUGUCUGCAGAAUUGAUCCUGUUUUAACUGAAUCCUUUUGAGUAUUUCUAGCAAAAAAAACUAGAAAGUUUCUAAAAUGCGAAAAAUUAAGUGGAAUGCUGUUGUUGAAUAUUUCCUGUCUGAACAAUUUGACUUUUUUGAUUUUGUCCUUUUUUUUAAAUCCAGGUACAGAAACUUAACAUUUCAUUAUUUUUAGGGAUGCACAGAUAUGAAAAUUUAAGCCGAUAUGAAUAUCCGAUAUAAUUAUUGCUGUUAUGGCCGAUAACCGAUAUUUAACRAUAUUACACAAACACACAAA